GAUGAACGCUGGCGGCGUGCCUAAUACAUGCAAGUCGAGCGAACGGACGAGAAGCUUGCUUCUCUGAUGUUAGCGGCGGACGGGUGAGUAACACGUGGAUAACCUACCUAUAAGACUGGGAUAACCUCGGGAAACCGUAGCUAAUACCGGAUAAUAUUUUGAACCGCAUGGUCCAAAAGUGAAAGACGGUCUUGCUGUCACUUAUAGAUGGACCCGCGCUGCAUUAGCUAGUUGGUAAGGUAACGGCUUACCAAGGCAACGAUGCAUAGCCGACCUGAGAGGGUGAUCGGCCACACUGGAACUGAGACACGGUCCAGACUCCUACGGGAGGCAGCAGUAGGGAAUCUUCCGCAGUGGGCGAAAGCCUGACGGAGCAACGCCGCGUGAGUGAUGAAGGUCUUCGGAUCGUAAAACUCUGUUAUUAGGGAAGAACAUAUGUGUAAGUAACUGUGCGCAUCUUGACGGUACCUAGUCAGAAAGCCACGGCUAACUACGUG
rnacentral:rRNA from 1 species